UACCUUGAAAGAAAUCCUGGCUUGGCAUGGUGGCUCAUGCCUGUAAUCCCAGCACUUUGGGAGGCUAAGGCAGGCUGAUCACUUGAGCCCAGGAGUUUGAGACCAGCCUGGGAAACAUGGCAAAACCCCAUCUCUACAAAAAAAUACACAAAUUAGCUGGGUGUGGUGGCAUGUACCUGUGGCCCCAGCUACUAAGGAGGCUGAGGUGGGAGUAUCACCUGAGCCAGUGAAGGUCGAGGCUGCAGGGAGCUGUGAUUGCUGACCUUCUUCUUCUGGCUUGGGUUCCAACACUUCAGGCAAGGCUGUUACCUUCAAGAAUGCCCACUCCACCCUAAUCUGUUUCUCACACACCUUGACUCUUCUCCCCCUUUUAGGUGAUCUUUUCACUCCAUUUAGGUCUUUCUUCAGGAAUUCUCUCUUCACCCCUCUCAGACUUGGACACCCAUAUUCUGAACUUCCCCAUCCCACUACGGAUGCCUUUCUCACCCCCUUAGGACUCUGACAACUCACUCCAGACCACCUGCCUAUGGUGUGCAGGUGUUUUCCUUAUCCCGUUUGUGUUCUAAUAUCUUCUAUCAGUCAGCUUUUCUUUGCAGGUGUGGUCCUCAUCCACGUGCUAGGAUCCACACGUUCCUCUUGUGUGUUUGCCCCUUUCAUGCUGUGUGGACUCUGACACCGUGAACUGAGCUGCUCUUCCGUGUUGACCUCUCCCUUAUUCCGUUCAGGCUCCAAAACAUCAUGCUGAGCAGAACAAGAAGUGUAUCAGCAUUGAGGGGAUGAAGGAGGAUGUGUACCAAAUAUCUAGGAAGGAAAGAUUCCCAAGGAAGAAGUACAUUGGUGUGUGGAGACGAGCAUCCAGGAGUGUCAGAAUGAUAAAUGUGCUGUUCCCCAGGAGAAUCACCAGACUACAGAUGAGAGGAUUGAUCAUGGGAGUCAUCACUCCAUAGAAAAGGGAGAUGAGGGCCUCAAUGAUGUCUUCAUUAUCUGAAUCAAUAGAAGCUUAAGACUCAGGCUUUGCAUACAUGAAGAAGAUGUUUCCAUAGAAUAUAAUCACCACUGUCAGGUAGGCUGAGCAGGUGGAGAAGGCCUUAUGUUUUCCUUCAGUGUAAGGAAUCCUGAGAAUAGUGG
rnacentral:lncRNA from 1 species